rnacentral:misc_RNA from 1 species
CAACCCUCGAGCCCCUCGCGGGGCCCGGCGUUGGGGAUCGGGGACCCCUCAGACGGGAUCCCGGCCCCGAAAUACAGUGGCGGUCUCGCCGCGGCCCUCCCCUGCGCAGUAGUUUGCACAACUCGCACCGGGAGCGCGGCGCGCCCACGCCCGUAAAACACCCAACUUUCUGAAA